rfam:Methyloceanibacter marginalis strain R-67177 contig_163, whole genome shotgun sequence.
AAUCAAGUGACCUAAGAGCAUCUGGUGGAUGCCUUGGCGCACACAGGCGAUGAAGGACGUGGUACGCUGCGAUAAGCCAUGGGGAGCUGCGAACAAGCUUUGAUCCGUGGAUUUCCGAAUGGGGCAACCCACCGCUUCGGCGGUAUCGUCAUCUGAAUACAUAGGAUGGCGAGGCGAACCCGGGGAACUGAAACAUCUCAGUACCCGGAGGAAAGGACAUCAACCGAGACUCCGUUAGUAGUGGCGAGCGAACGCGGACCAGGCCAGUGCUUCAGCAAGGAUAACUGGAACCAUCAGGAAAGUUGGGCCUCAGAGGGUGAUAGCCCCGUACAGGUAAUGCCAAGCUGAAGACUAGAGUAGGGCGGGACACGUGAAAUCCUGUCUGAACAUGGGGAGACCACUCUCCAAGCCUAAGUACUCGUGUGCGACCGAUAGCGAACCAGUACCGUGAGGGAAAGGUGAAAAGCACCCCGACGAGGGGAGUGAAAGAGACCUGAAACCGGAUGCUUACAAUCAGUCGGAGCCUAUCUUCGGAUGGGUGACGGCGUACCUUUUGUAUAAUGGGUCAGCGAGUUAGUCUGCCGAGCAAGCUUAAGCCGUUAGGUGUAGGCGCAGCGAAAGCGAGUCUGAAUAGGGCGAACAGUUCGGCGGAUUAGACCCGAAACCAGGUGAUCUAGGCAUGAGCAGGCUGAAGGUGCGGUAACACGCACUGAAGGGCCGAACCCACCUAUGUUGAAAAAUGGGGGGAUGACUUGUGCCUAGGGGUGAAAGGCCAAUCAAACCUGGAAAUAGCUGGUUCUCCGCGAAAUCUAUUUAGGUAGAGCGUCGGACGAAUACUCUCGGGGGUAGAGCACUGGAUGGGCUAGGGGGCCUCAACGGCUUACCAAACCUAACCAAACUCCGAAUACCGAGAAGUACUAUCCGGCAGACACACUGCGGGUGCUAAGGUCCGUAGUGAAAAGGGAAACAGCCCUGACCGACAGCUAAGGUCCCCAAGUUAUGGCUAAGUGUGAAAGGAUGUGAGAAUCCCAAAACAACCAGGAGGUUGGCUUAGAAGCAGCCAUCCUUUAAAGAAAGCGUAACAGCUCACUGGUCUAAAUAAGGAUUCUUGCGCCGACAAUGUAUCGGGGCUUAAGCCAUACACCGAAGCUUCGGGUGUGCACUUGUGCACGCGGUAGCGGAGCGUUCCGUAAGCCUGCGAAGGGUCACCGCGAGGUGGCCUGGAGGUAUCGGAAGAGCGAAUGCUGACAUGAGUAACGAUAAGGAGUGUGAGAGACACUCCCGCCGAAAGUCCAAGGGUUCCUGCGCAAUGCUAAUCAGCGCAGGGUUAGCCGGCCCCUAAGGCGAGGGCGAAAGCCGUAGUCGAUGGGAACCACGUUAAUAUUCGUGGGCCAGUGGGUGUGUGACGAAUUCUAAAAGUUGUCAGGUCUUAUCGGAUUGACUUGGCCGCGAAGGAGUUCCAGGAAAUAGCCCCCACAUGAGACCGUACCCUAAACCGACACAGGUGGACUGGUAGAGUAUACCAAGGCGCUUGAGAGACUGCGUUGAAGGAACUCGGCAAAAUACCCCCGUAACUUCGGGAGAAGGGGGCCCCAUGUCUGGGCAACCAGGUGUGGGGGGCACAAGCCAGGGGGUGGCGACUGUUUAUUAAAAACAUAGGGCUCUGCGAAGUCGCAAGACGACGUAUAGGGUCUGACGCCUGCCCGGUGCCGGAAGGUUAAGAGGAGGGGUGCAAGCUCUGAAUCGAAGCCCCGGUAAACGGCGGCCGUAACUAUAACGGUCCUAAGGUAGCGAAAUUCCUUGUCGGGUAAGUUCCGACCUGCACGAAUGGCGUAACGACUUCCCCACUGUCUCCAACGCAGACUCAGUGAAAUUGAAUUCCCCGUGAAGAUGCGGGGUUCCUGCGGUUAGACGGAAAGACCCCGUGAACCUUUACUAUAGCUUUGCACUGGUAUUCGUAACUGCAUGUGUAGGAUAGGUGGGAGGCUUUGAACCUGGGGCGCCAGUUCCAGGGGAGCCAACCUUGAAAUACCACCCUUACGAUUAUGGAUAUCUAACUGCGGCCCGUUCAUCCGGGUCCAAGACAGUGCAUGGUGGGUAGUUUGACUGGGGCGGUCGCCUCCCAAAGAGUAACGGAGGCGUGCGAAGGUAGGCUCAAGCUGGUCGGAAAUCAGCUGUCGAGUGCAAAGGCAUAAGCCUGCCUGACUGCGAGACUGACAAGUCGAGCAGAGACGAAAGUCGGCCUUAGUGAUCCGGUGGUCCCGUGUGGAAGGGCCAUCGCUCAACGGAUAAAAGGUACUCCGGGGAUAACAGGCUGAUGAUGCCCAAGAGUCCAUAUCGACGGCAUCGUUUGGCACCUCGAUGUCGGCUCAUCACAUCCUGGGGCUGGAGCAGGUCCCAAGGGUUCGGCUGUUCGCCGAUUAAAGUGGUACGUGAGCUGGGUUUAGAACGUCGUGAGACAGUUCGGUCCCUAUCUGCCGUGGGUGUAGGAGAAUUGAGAGGAUCUGUCCCUAGUACGAGAGGACCGGGAUGGACGCACCUCUGGUGGACCUGUUGUCGCGCCAGCGGCACAGCAGGGUAGCUAAGUGCGGACGGGAUAACCGCUGAAAGCAUCUAAGCGGGAAGCCUACCUCGAAACUAGUUCUCCCUUGAGAGCCGUGGAAGACCACCACGUUGAUAGGCUGGGUGUGGAAGCGCAGCAAUGCGUGAAGCUAACCAGUACUAAUAGCUCGAUCGGCUUGAUUGC